UAGGGAUUGCAGCGGAAAACCCACAGCCUUGUGCAAGCCUCAGUGCGUACAGACAAGGCGAGGAUUUGCAGCGUAAAGCCCGGGCCGCA
rnacentral:misc_RNA from 1 species